UGCAGUCGAGCGGUACAUUUCUGGCUUGUUAGAAGAUGACGAGCGGCGGACGGGUGAGUAAUGCUUGGGAAUAUGCCUUAUGGUGGGGGACAACAGUUGGAAACGACUGCUAAUACCGCAUAACGUCUACGGACCAAAGGGGGGGAUCUUCGGACCUCUCGCCAUUUGAUUAGCCCAAGUGAGAUUAGCUAGUUGGUGAGGUAAUGGCUCACCAAGGCGACGAUCUCUAGCUGGUUUGAGAGGAUGAUCAGCCACACUGGGACUGAGACACGGCCCAGACUCCUACGGGAGGCAGCAGUGGGGAAUAUUGCACAAUGGGCGAAAGCCUGAUGCAGCCAUGCCGCGUGUGUGAAGAAGGCCUUCGGGUUGUAAAGCACUUUCAGUUGUGAGGAAAGGGGAGUAGUUAAUAGCUGCUUUCUGUGACGUUAACAACAGAAGAAGCACCGGCUAACUUCGUGCCAGCAGCCGCGGUAAUACGAGGGGUGCAAGCGUUAAUCGGAAUUACUGGGCGUAAAGCGUUCGUAGGCGGUCUAUUAAGCAAGAUGUGAAAGCCCAGGGCUCAACCUUGGAACUGCAUUUUGAACUGGUAGACUAGAGUACUGUAGAGGGUGGUGGAAUUUCCAGUGUAGCGGUGAAAUGCGUAGAGAUUGGAAGGAACAUCAGUGGCGAACGCGGCCACCUGGACAGAUACUGACGCUGAGGAACGA
rnacentral:rRNA from 1 species